UUCUUGAAGUUCUUUAAGUGCCACAUCAGGAAGACUAGGUUUUGUUUAUAUUAUCCUUUGGAUUGGAACAUAGACUUUGAAUAUGAAAAGCUAAAGACAUUCUAGUGAUAAAUGCAUUGCUCUCUUCUGAAGAAAAAGAUACUCUUAGAACGUUAGUCUUUAUCUUUCUACCAGGAUCUUUAAUAAUAUGUAAGGCAUUGCUUUGGAAAUAAAUUUCUAACUGAUUCUGUCUUAGACUUUCUUAUUAGCAAGACCAAUAGGUAGGAUGUUUUGUGUGUUUAUUUUUGAGCUUAUUUUUGAGCAUGUGUCUGGCUUAUACUCUUGUGUAAGUGAUAAAGUUUAGAAAUAUAAACCUGUAUAGUAUUCAUGUUUGUCUCCUUUUUCCAUUGCUUUAUUUACCUUG
rnacentral:lncRNA from 1 species